rnacentral:rRNA from 1 species
CUGGGNGUAAAGGACGCGUAGGCGGAUUAUCAAGUCUCUUGUGAANUCUAACGGCUUAACCGUUAAACUGCUUGAGAAACUGAUANUCUAGAGUAAGGGAGAGGCAGAUGGAAUUCUUGGUGUAGGGGUAAAAUCCGUAGAGAUCAAGAAGAAUACCCAUUGCGAAAGCGAUCUGCUGGAACUUAACUGACGCUAAUGCGUGAAAGCGUGGGGAGCAAACAGGAUUAGAUACCCUGGUAGUCCACGCCNUAAACGAUGUAUACUAGUUGUUGCUUCGCUAGUCGAGGCAGUAAUGCACCUAACGGAUUAAGUAUACCGCCUGGGGAGUACGGUCGCAAGAUUAAAACUCAAAGGAAUAGACGGGGACCCGCACAAGCGGUGGAGCAUGUGGUUUAAUUCGAAGAUACGCGAAGAACCUUACCCGGACUUGAUAUCUAACAAAUCAUCCAGAGAUGGAAGAGUGUCUGCUUGCAGAAAUGUUAAGACAGGUGCUGCACGGCUGUCGUCAGCUCGUGUCGUGAGAUGUUGGGUUAAGUCCCGCAACGAGCGCAACCCACGUCAUUAGUUGCUAACGGUUCGGCCGAGCACUCUAAUGAGACUGCCUUCGCAAGGAGGAGGAAGGUGUGGACGACGUCAAGUCAUCAUGGCCCUUAUGUCCGGGGCGACACACGUGCUACAAUGGCGUAUACAAUGAGACGCAAUAUCGCGAGAUGGAGCAAAUCUAUAAAAUACGUCCCAGUUCGGAUUGGAGUCUGCAACUCGACUCCAUGAAGCCGGAAUCGCUAGUAAUCGUAGAUCAGCCAUGCUACGGUGAAUACGUUCCCGGGUCUUGUACUCACCGCCCGUCACACCAUGGGAGUUGAUUUCACUCGAAGCCCAAAUACCAAAC